GAUGAACGCUGGCGGCGUGCCUAAUACAUGCAAGUCGAGCGAACGGACGAGAAGCUUGCUUCUCUGAUGUUAGCGGCGGACGGGUGAGUAACACGUGGAUAACCUACCUAUAAGACUUGGAUAACUUCGGGAAACCGGAGCUAAUACCGGAUAAUAUUUUGAACCGCAUGGUUCAAAAGUGAAAGACGGUCUUGCUGUCACUUAUAGAUGGAUCCGCGCUGCAUUAGCUAGUUGGUAAGGUAACGGCUUACCAAGGCAACGAUGUAUAGCCGACCUGAGAGGGGGAUGGACAACACUGGAAUGGGGACAGGGCCAAGGCCCAGAGGGGGGGCGGAGGAGGGAAAGGUGACGAAAGGGGGGAAAGCGGAAGGGGGAAACGGCGGGGGGGGGAGAAAGGUCUUGGGAUUGGAAAACUCUGUUAUUAGGGAAAAAAGUAAGGGUAAGUAACUGGGCACAUGUGAAGGGAGCGUAUAAAGAAACCCACGCUAAACAAGGG
rnacentral:rRNA from 1 species